rnacentral:piRNA from 1 species
UGCCUUUGGAUGUGACUAUAGAGGGGUGA